rnacentral:tRNA from 1 species
GCCUGGCUGGCUCAGUCAGUAGAGCAUGUGACUCUUGAUCUCAGGGUCAUGAGUUCAAGCCCCAUGUUGGGUG